rnacentral:tRNA from 1 species
GCUGCCGUAGCUCAGUAGGUAGAGCGCAUCCUUGGUAAGGAUGAGGUCAUGGGUUCAACUCCCAUCGGGAGCUCCA